CUCUGCCACUCUUUCCCAGUUCAGCUGAUUUCCCCCUUUGUGCCUCCAUCAUGACAAAAAGCUACCGUCAGUUUCCAGUCGGUUAGAUAGGUUUUCAGUUCAUUGCCGGUGAUCUUCUUCUUGUUAAGGUGUAGAAGUAUGAAUAUAGGGUCAUAGGUGGAUUUUGAGAUUUGUAAGAAAAAACUGCUGGCUGCUUUCUGGCAAAUCCCGCUGUUAACAGGGAGUCCGUCACCAUCGCUGACUUUUGUUCGAUUUUCUGGCUAAGAAAGGAGCAUCUUUAGAACGAAUACUUGGUAAGAUCAUUGUGCACAUUACGACAAACUAAAACAUAAUCAACCAUGAUUUUUUUAUUUCACGAUACAAUAGUUGGUCUGUGAAUGAUAACAGUCUUCUGGCAUGCGUGUGAUCCAAUUGAAAAUGUGUAUUUUGAUGGCUGUAAAUUCUCCAGUGAUAUAAAAUAAGCAUGGAAACUUCAGUGAAUUGAAAUGUUGUGUGUUUUCUCACAUCAAUUUGUAAUAUUAUCUUCUAUUGUUUCAGACAAUGGAGUCCGUCCAUGUGUUAGUCACAUGCGAUGCAAACACGUUUGGCAAUUGGCAUUAUGGUGCAAAUGAAGAGCAGUUACCAGUAGUUUCGAUUUGGAUGAGACGUAGAAAAUAAUUUUAGAGUUCCCACUUUGAUUGAACGGGGAUAAACUUUACGCAUCUAUGACAAUCAUAGCCUUUUAAUAUUUCAUUUAAUUAGUAAUGUAAACUUUGAAGUUGCAGCGUUGAUAAACAUCGUUGAUUCCGGUGAUAUUUGACUCCAUCUCUAUGAAGUGAGAACCUCUUUGAUUUACCAUAGACAUCGAUGAGAGUAUUGUAUGUGAUUGUGUUAGGCUUGAUUCCGUAAACUGCCAUGUCAUAAACCUGUAGGCAAGACUUUAUGAGGAUUGUGUAUGUGGAGACACCAGGUUGACAAUCAUGACUGUUCUUCAUUUGUUCAAGAGUAGAAAAUGCUUUGUAAAAAGACCACUUCGAUUGCAGGCAGACAAAUGAGCAGUGUAUGCUUCAUGUUUCA